CAAUGGGCGAAAGCCUGACCCAGCAACGCCGCGUGUGUGAUGAAGGCCUUCGGGUCGUAAAGCACUUUUCUGGGAGAUGAGAAAGGACAGUAUCCCAGGAAUAAGUCUCGGCUAACUACGUGCCAGCAGCCGCGGUAAAACGUAGGAGGCGAGCGUUAUCCGGAUUCACUGGGCGUAAAGCGCGUGCAGGUGGCGCGGUAAGUUGGGCGUGAAAUCUCCCGGCUCAACUGGGAGAGGUCGUCCAAUACUACCGUGCUUGAGAGCAGAAGAGGAAGAUGGAAUUCCCGGUGUAGUGGUGAAAUGCGUAGAUAUCGGGAGGAACACCAGUGGCGAAGGCGAUCUUCUGGUCUGUUUCUGACACUCAGACGCGACAGCUAGGGUAGUAAACGGGAUUAGAGACCCCGGUAAUCCUAGCCGUAAACGAUGUGAACUUGGCGUUGGUGGGUUAAACUCCAUCAGUGCCGUAGCAAACGCGAUAAGUUCACCGCCUGGGGACUACGGCCGCAAGGUUA
rnacentral:rRNA from 1 species